GGUGAGCGCUGGCGGCGUGCUUAAGACAUGCAAGUCGAACGGCAGUCUUCGGACUGUAGUGGCGCACGGGUGAGUAACGCGUAACUGACCUACCCCAAAGUCGCGGAUAACGAUUCGAAAGAAUCGCUAAGACGUGAUGUGCUGUCAGAUUGUGUUCUUCCAGUAAAGAUUGAUUGCUUUGGGAUGGGGUUGCGUUCCAUCAGCUAGUUGGUGGGGUAAAGGCCCACCAAGGCGACGACGGAUAGCCGGCCUGAGAGGGUGGCCGGCCACAGGGGCACUGAGACACGGGUCCCACUCCUACGGGAGGCAGCAGUUAGGAAUCUUCCACAAUGGGCGAAAGCCUGAUGGAGCGACGCCGCGUGAGGGAUGAAGGUCUUCGGAUCGUAAACCUCUGAAUCAGGGACGAAAGACACUUCGGUGGGAUGACGGUACCUGAGUAAUAGCACCGGCUAACUCCGUGCCAGCAGCCGCCGUAAGAC
rnacentral:rRNA from 1 species